UGGGGGAUCGUCUAGCGGUAGGACAACGGACUCUGACUCCGUUUACCUAGGUUCGAAUCCUAGUCCCCCAGCCA
rnacentral:tRNA from 7 species